GACGUAGGGGGCCAGCGUUGUUCGGAAUUACUGGGUGUAAAGGGUUCGUAGGCGGUGCGGCAAGUUGGGAGUGAAAUCUCUGGGCUUAACCCAGAGGCUGCUUCCGAAACUGCUGUGCUUGAGUGUGGGAGAGGCGCGUGGAAUUGCAGGUGUAGCGGUGAAAUGCUUAGAUAUCGUCAAGAACACCGAUAGCGAAGGCAGCUUACUAAGCUUUAACUGACGCUGAGGCACGAAAGUGUGGGGAUCAAACAGG
rnacentral:rRNA from 1 species